UUUUUAAUGUCAUAUUUAAUUCCCCAUGAUUUAAUGUAUAACCAGAACACAACCGCGACAUUGCGUGUCACUGACUGAAUUAUAUCACCUUUUUAGCAUUUUAGCAUGGAUUUUUAGUAAUCGUAUUGACAUCUGAUAAAGUCAUGCUGAUUAAGGUGUACAUUUCUCUGCUUUCAAUUUUUUUUUCUGUAUCGACCUGCACUGGUUUUUGUACUACAACCGGGAAUGUUGGUAUUUGCCGUUGAGAUUGGACGUGGCUGACAUAUUUUACAGAGAUAACACCUUUGAAAUUGCUUUGUCAAAUUGUUUCAGGAAUCCAAGUAUGUGCUUGUCUGUUUUCUGUUUCUUCUCAUGACAUUUGUGCGGCACCCGGGGACCUUUUCCCUUAUAUUUUGUUUAUAUGAUUGUUUUUAUAUUUUGCUAUGUUUUAUAUUUAAAGGAUGAGUUAAUCGGAUGAGUAUGUGUUCGUAUGUUUUAUUGUUUUGAACUUAUUAUUUUGGGGAACGUUAAAAUCUCUUGAGUUUAGUGAAAACUGCAAAAAAAAGUUUAUAUAUUUUACAAAUAUCUAAAUGUGUUUAAUAAAUUAAUUUAGGUUAGGCCUUGAUUCAUAUUUCUUUUGUGCGAAUUCCCUAUAUCAAGAACCUCAAGAGUAUCUUCGGUGUAGAAUAAGACCCG
rnacentral:lncRNA from 1 species